UGCAGUCGAGCGGACAGAUGGGAGCUUGCUCCCUGAUGUUAGCGGCGGACGGGUGAGUAACACGUGGGUAACCUGCCUGUAAGACUGGGAUAACUCCGGGAAACCGGGGCUAAUACCGGAUGGUUGUCUGAACCGCAUGGUUCAGACAUAAAAGGUGGCUUCGGCUACCACUUACAGAUGGACCCGCGGCGCAUUAGCUAGUUGGUGAGGUAACGGCUCACCAAGGCGACGAUGCGUAGCCGACCUGAGAGGGUGAUCGGCCACACUGGGACUGAGACACGGCCCAGACUCCUACGGGAGGCAGCAGUAGGGAAUCUUCCGCAAUGGACGAAAGUCUGACGGAGCAACGCCGCGUGAGUGAUGAAGGUUUUCGGAUCGUAAAGCUCUGUUGUUAGGGAAGAACAAGUGCCGUUCAAAUAGGGCGGCACCUUGACGGUACCUAACCAGAAAGCCACGGCUAACUACGUGCCAGCAGCCGCGGUAAUACGUAGGUGGCAAGCGUUGUCCGGAAUUAUUGGGCGUAAAGGGCUCGCAGGCGGUUUCUUAAGUCUGAUGUGAAAGCCCCCGGCUCAACCGGGGAGGGUCAUUGGAAACUGGGGAACUUGAGUGCAGAAGAGGAGAGUGGAAUUCCACGUGUAGCGGUGAAAUGCGUAGAGAUGU
rnacentral:rRNA from 1 species